UAAUUAUUUAUAUUAGGUCUAGCCUGCUCAAUGAUUUUAAUAAUUUAAAUAGCCGCAGUAUAUUGACUGUGCGAAGGUAGCAUAAUCAAUUGUCUUUUAAUUGAGGGCUUGUAUGAAUGGUUUGAUGAGAAAAUGACUUUCUUUAUACUAAUAUUUAAAAUUUAAUUUUUUAGUUAAAAAGCUAAAAUAUUUAAAUGGGACGAGAAGACCCUAUAGAAUUUUAUUUUUAUUUUUAAAGUAUAAGUUUUUGGAGAGGUAAUAUCUUAUUAUUUAAAAUAAAUAUUUUGUUGGGGUGACCUUGAGACUUAUUUAACUCUUAAAUUAUAUAAUUUUAUUAAUGUGUAUAUAUAUAUGAUCCUAUUUUAUGGAUAUUUAGAUUAAAUUACCUUAGGGAUAACAGCGUAAUUUUUUUGGAGAGUUCUUAUUGAUGAAAAAGUUUGCGACCUCGAUGUUGGAUUAAAAUUAGAUUUUAGUGCAGAAGCUAAAAUUCUAGGUCUGUUCGACCUUUAAAUUUUUACAUGAU
rnacentral:rRNA from 1 species